GACGAACCGUCCGAACGUUAUUCGGAAUUAUUGGGCUUAAAGGGUGCGUAGGCGGCGCUGUAAGUCAGGUGUGAAAUCCCACGGCUCAACCGUGGAAUGGCGCCCGAUACUGCAGUGCUCGAGGGAGACAGAGGUAAGCGGAACUGAUGGUGGAGCGGUGAAAUGCGUUGAUAUCAUCAGGAACACCAGUGGCGAAAGCGGCUUACUGGGUCUCUUCUGACGUUGAGGCGCGAAAGCUAGGGUAGCGAACGGG
rnacentral:rRNA from 1 species